UCCCUGGUGGUCCAGUGGUUGAGAAUCUGCCUUCCAAGCAGAGAAUGUGGGUUUGAUCCCUGGUCAGGGAA
rfam:TPA: Bos taurus chromosome 10, whole genome shotgun sequence.